UUGCAGCCACUUGGCUAAAUCAGUUACUAGCAGUCAUGUGAUUACCCUCGCCCCUUGAGGGGAGAGAGGGAAAAAAAUGACAGUUCAGUCCUUGGCCUCCUUGAUUUUGUUUUAUUUUCUUUUUACCAGGUGGACACUGGAAAAAUACACUUAGUGCUACUUAAUCGCCCUUCCCAGCAGGGCACUUGUGAGCUGUCUGAAUAAAGGAUGGGGAAAGAGACAAGCCUGAGUUGCCGCGAGUCCAGCUUUGCCAAGAAAGCAGAUCAGCCUGAGUGAGCAAGACUUCUGCCUCCAGGCUACUCUCACACUGGCAUUUCAAGGCUUCCUUAAGUCCCAGCAAAAUGAGCAACUGCAGUCCCAUAAAGGGCCAGAACCUAACACAGGAACAACAAGAAUCACCUUUCCUAACCCAGUCACAAAAAGACAAACAUGAGCCCUCAUCCAGUGGCUGAUGGAAGCAGAGACAGACAUUCACAGAUAUACACUGAGCUG